AAUGAACGCUGGCGGCAGGCCUAAAACAUGCAAGUCGAACGCCCUAGCAAUAGGGAGUGGCGCACGGGUGAGUAACACGUGGGAAUAUGCCUUUUGGUACGGAACAACGUCUGGAAACGGACGCUAAUGCCGUAUGGUCCCUUCGGGGUAAAGAUUUAUCGCCAAAAGAUUAGCCCGCGUCUGAUUAGCUAGUUGGUGAGGUAAUGACUCACCACGGCGACGAUCAGUAGCUGGUCUGAGAGGACGAUCAGCCACACUGGGACUGAGACACGGCCGUGACUCCUACGGGGUGCAGCAGUUAGGAAUAUUGGACAAUGGACGCAAGUCUGAGCCAGCCAUGCCGCGGGAGUGAUGAAGGCCUUCGGGUUGUAAAGCUCUUUAGUCCACGAUUAUAAUGACUGUAGGGGAAGAAUAAGCCCCGGCUAACUUCGUGCCAGCAGCCGCCGUAACAC
rnacentral:rRNA from 1 species